rnacentral:lncRNA from 1 species
AUGCUGUCCCUUUUUUUAGAUCCCUCUGAUGUGCAAAAUCUGAUUGUGGUGAGUGUGACAAAUGUUAGCGCCAACCUCAAGUGGAGUAAACCAGAUGGAAACCAUGAGUCAUACUCGGUAUAUGUCAAAUACAAGUCAAAUAAAAAUGUUACAGAACGAGUCCAAGAGUGUCAAGAUGAAGAGUGCACUAUUACGGCUCUUAUUCCAGGAACCGAGUAUGUAUUCACAGUUACAGCUGUAGUGAAUAAGACGAUUGAAGGUGUGCCGAGCAAUGUUUCUAAUUACACCAUACCUUCAACUGUCAGGAACCUAAGAUCAGCAGACAAUGACAGUACAGUCAUAAUGGCCUUUUGGGAUCCUCCUACUGGUAAUCAUUCAGGUUACCGCUAUUGUCUUAAAGAAGUCAAUAACAGCCGCGAGUGUACUUACUGCAACAUUGCAUCAGACAGCAGCAUUACAGCAAACAACAACAUCACAAACAGUAGUGAUACAACUACUGUCAGUAUUGCAGACUGCAAAACAGUGGAUGGAACAGAAACAUUUAUCAAAGUGACUAAUAAAUCAGACGGCAGCAUGUUUUGUCUGUGUGUGGCAGCACUAACAAAGACCAACACUCUGUCAGGAGAAAUGGUCACAAUCUUAGCAUACACAAAACCAAAAACUGUGACCCUCUUUUUGAACCCCAGCUCCCAAACCAUUUUUGCCAACUGGACAGUAGAAGGGAAGUAUGAAAAAUUUGAAGUUAGUAUUACAACGGAUGCAUACAUUUAUACCGACCAGUUUACUACUCCAAACUUGAAUUACUCGUUCAAAGAUCUGAAGGCAGGAGUGAAUUACAACGUUUCAGUUGUCACACUAAAUGGUAAACUGAGAAGUAAUCCUGCUAAUAAAUCAGAGUUCACGCGGCCUGCUAAACCUCGUGAUGUAAAGGCCACCGCUAUCAAAAAUAACAUACAGCUAAGCUGGGGUGCUCCAGUUGAGUCUGAGGGUGCCUUGAUUCAAUAUAUAGUGAAAUAUAACACUUCUUUCUGGGAUGAAACUAAUGAAAUAAAUACAACUGAGACAAAUAUCACCAUUCCUUAUUUAAGACCAGGAACAAAAUAUACGUUCAAUGUCAUGGUCUUGGCUGGAAAUCUGAGUGAUCCAGCCACUACUCAUGCAAACACAGAGCCUGAGUAAGAGGACACUGGUCCUCACGAUGUUGUGUUCCUCUCAAACCGCACUUCAUUGUGACAAACCUGAAACUCGGAAUGAACUGUUUGAAACGGUGAAGAAAUGUUCAAAGACUACAUCAAGCUUGUUGCAACUUUACAGUAACAGAAUUAUUAUGCAAUGAAUGCACACGAGAAAAAAAGAUGAUGAUUAAAAAAACACAAUGACCAACAUUUAUUAAAUAGUAACUAUAUAUAUAUGUGUGUGUGUGUGUGUGUGUGUGUGUGUGUGUGUGUGUGUGUGUGUGUGUGUGUGUGUGUGUGUUUUAUUUAAACCUUUUUAUCUUGAAUGCUAAUUAAAAAAUAAUAAUAAAUAAACAUUCUAAAACAGCUUUGUGCAAAUAGCUGGAAAAUGUAACUGAAAUAAACACAAAUUUUCUUUCUGUCUUUCAGCUGAAAAAAAAAAAUGAUGACAAAUUUCAAGACUUGGUCCACUGGAAGCUUAAAGCAAAAACUAGGUUUGUAAAAAUUCUAAAACAGCUUUGUGCAAAUAGCUGGAAAAUGUAACUGAAAUAAACACAAAUUUUCUUUCUGUCUUUCAGCUGAAAAAAAAAAUAGAUGACAAAUUUCAAGACUUGGUCCACUGGAAGCUUAAAGCAAAAACUAGGUUUGUAAAAACAGCUGGAUUUUUUACAAAUUACUAUGAUUUAUAUUAACCUCUGACUCUCAUUUCACAGCAAAGACAUCCUUUGAAUCUCUAUGAUGUGGCCUACAAUCAAGAAAAAAAUCACACACUGAAAUUUUGUGUGAUUUCAUGCCUGGUGAAUUCUGAAUUUAUUUUCUUACAUUUCCAUGAAUGCAACUUACAAAAGAGGAACAAAAGCAAUGUGUCAGAGAGCCAACAAUAUAUGUUAUAUACAAUUUUAUUAGAUUAGAUUAGGAAACAAGGGAGAGAAGAGGAAACAUUUAGAGAAGAAAUAUAAGUUUUUGGUAAACUUUACGGGAACCAAAUGUCCUCACAGGGAUAGCAAAACCUGAUAUUUUUGACUUUUGCUUGUUUGUUUUUUAUUUUCUGUGCGAGUUUGGGGUGAGGGUAUAGAAUAUUCAGUAUAAAAAUCAUUAUGUCUUUGGAAAGUGCAUUGGUUUAAGAGGUUGUUAAGUGCUUGUUUUUAGCUUCUUGGAGGGUUUUAUUUUGAUUCUCACUCAUUUUUGGGCCUGUAUGGCAAUUUUUUCUUCUUACAAAUUGCAUAUUGACAUUUACUAUAGAUUGAGUGGUGUGAUGAUAUUUGCUAUAGUUGUGGGAGCUAUAAUUCAUCUUCAAAACUGUAACAUGAAUACCUUUUUUUUUAAGACCUUUGCUAUAGCUUCAUUUGAAUUCCAGUUUUAAUGUUCAUGAUGGAUUACUGCUGAUUAUUUUGGGGACUGGUUUCAUUAUAAUUAAAGAUAUUACACAUGGGUUUGUUUGCUUUAUUUCACUACUUUAUGAAAGUAUAAUUACUUUCUUUCCAACUUGUGAUGUUCAUUUACAUCUAUAACCACGAGUCCUCAGUAUUUCUGUCUUGUUUUCCAAAUAUAUAAACAUUCUAAAAUCAAGAUACAUUUACUUGAAAAAUUAUAAAAUAAUAUACAUAUAUAUAUAUAUGAGUAUUAAAUAUAUAUGUCGAAUAUAUAUAUAUAUAUAUAUAUAUAUAUAUAAAAAAGCAGAAUAUGACCAUCACGGAUCUCUUGUUGUAAUAGAACACUCCCACCGUGUGCUCUACUGCAUUAAUGCAUCGAUACAAGAGGCACAAUCCACAUACAACAUAAUGUGAUUGUGAAAGUGAUGUGACGUGUAGCCAAGUGCAUACACAUAACUAUAGACUGAGCAAGUAAUACGUCUCAUAGCCCUACUAAUUCACCCAUCAAAAUCUCACUCCAGCCAGGAAAGUGAAUUUGUCAGCCCUGGUUUAUUCAAAGAAUCAGACCUCCUUCCAGACUUUCUGAACGCCUGGUUUAUUCAAAGAAUCAGACCUCCUUCCAGACUUUCUGAACGGCGUCAUGCCAGAUAAUGUGAACAAAAACACACAUUUCUCUUAUCCUACAUGUACAAACAUAGAGUAGUGCGAGCAUGAAUGCUCAAACACAGCCUUCACAGGUCAACUGCUCGUAAUAAACACUGAACUGAGUUAAGGACCGUUCAGAUAUAGAAAAGAAGAGGCUGCUAAUAGCCUACAGUACAUUGUCUAUGACUGAUAAAUAGGCGUCCAUCACUUCAAAACAUAUUUAAGAGUCCAUGCGUUCACGAUAUACAUAUAGUGCAAUAAAUAUAUGCAAAAACCUCUAAGAACAUUAAAAGUCCAGUUUUCUUCUUGUGAUUAGAACAUUAUUUAAAGAUUACUAAAAAAUAAAUUAAUUAAUUCUUAGAACUUUCAAGUACAAAAAAACUCAUGAGAACAUUCUGAGAACAUUCUAAGAAUGUUUUCUCUGAACAUUGCGAGAAAGUUACAUAAGUAUUAACUCUAAGAAUGUUUUGUCCUAACAUUUAUAUAACUUUAAAAAACAUAUUGAGAGUCCUGAGAAGGUUCCCUGUUAGCUGGGAAUGUUCUCUGCACUUUGGCUUACAUUCUGGCUAAAGUUCUACUUAAAGUAACAGGUAACACUUAUUCACGUUUAACUACAAAUGUUCCCUCAAUAAAUUCCUAAUUUCCUCUUUAUUAAUAGUUAGUAAGGUAGUUUUUAAGUUUAGGUACUAGAUUCAAUCAAAGAGUGCAGCAGCCAAUUGAACCAGGUGAUAAUUUCAUAACAGCCCUGUAUGCUCUUGCAGAAAACUGUACUCAAGAAUACAUCCAUUCCAGUCACGGAAGACUCUGAUUUGAAUUUACAACAUUCAUUUUAACAAACAAACAUGUUAGUACACACAAAUAAAAUUAAAUAAAAAGUGCCGCGCGAACUAUUCGUGUGGCGUAGUGCAUGGCAUUUUUUGUAACUUUCCGCAUAGCUCCGCAUCCGAACAUACAUGAGUUCAGGGUGAUUCUAGCUGAACAUGCACGUCUGUGCCGGCGUUUGUGUGAAACAGAAGUUUAAUGUGAAGUUCCAACUCCCUUAGGUGCUUUUUGACAGAAAGCGUGUUUGAAAAAAUGUCCAAGGCUUC